GACGAACGCUGGCGGCGUGCUUAACACAUGCAAGUCGAGCGGUAAGGCCCUUUCGGGGGUACACGAGCGGCGAACGGGUGAGUAACACGUGGGUGACCUGCCCUCAGCUCUGGGAUAAGCCUGGGAAACUGGGUCUAAUACCGGAUAUGACUCCAUGACGCAUGUUGUGGGGUGGAAAGCCUUGUGCGGCUGAGGAUGGGCCCGCGGCCUAUCAGCUUGUUGGUGGGGUGACGGCCUACCAAGGCGACGACGGGUAGCCGGCCUGAGAGGGCGACCGGCCACACUGGGACUGAGACACGGCCCAGACUCCUACGGGAGGCAGCAGUGGGGAAUCUUGCGCAAUGGGCGAAAGCCUGACGCAGCGACGCCGCGUGAGGGAUGACGGCCUGGU
rnacentral:rRNA from 1 species